GGAUGAACGCUAGCGGCAGGCCUAAUACAUGCAAGUCGAACGAGAUUCAGAGGCUUGCUUCUUAUGAAAGUGGCGCACGGGUGCGUAACGCGUAUGCAACCUACCUUAAUCAGGGGGAUAGCCCGAAGAAAUUCGGAUUAAGACCGCAUAAAAACACAGGAUAGCAUUAUCCAAUGUUCAAAUAUUUAUAGGAUUAAGAUGGGCAUGCGUGUCAUUAGCUAGUUGGCGGGGUAACGGCCCACCAAGGCGACGAUGACUAGGGGAUCUGAGGGGAUGACCCCCCACACUGGUACUGAGACACGGACCAGACUCCUACGGGAGGCAGCAGUAAGGAAGAUUGGUCAAUGGAGGGAACUCUGAACCAGCCAUGCCGCGUGCAGGAAGACAGCCCUCUGGGUCGUAAACUGCUUUUAUUCGGGAAUAAACCUUUCUACGUGUAGGAAGCUGAAUGUACCGAAGGAAUAAGGAUCGGCUAACUCCGUG
rnacentral:rRNA from 1 species